CUAAAGGCGGGAAAAAUUGGGAAGAAAAAUUUGCACACAGAGAAAAGAUGAAGAACUCAAAUUCAAAAUCCGGCAGAGAUCUACAAAGUUUGGUUGAAGCUAUCAAAUCUUCAGAUGUGGUUGAAAAUCGUGUUGAAUUGCUUGAUGAACUUGGUGAGCUAGAUUUGACUGAGAAAUCAGAAGUGGCUUCUCUUAUAGAAUCCAUACAAACACUCUGGGAAGACUUCACAUGUCUUGACAUUUCUCAAUGCAAAUUGAACAAAACCAUUUUGCACGUGGCUGCAAAAUAUUUGCUGUCUGACAUAUCUGCAAGCUUAGGGCAGUUUCUAGGCCUAGGAGCCAAAGCUGCUGUAUGGUGUAAAAAGCAUCUACAGAUGACACUCAUGUCGACUCAGGACUCACCUGAAGAAGAACAUAGCAGCCUCUUUUAUCAGUUGCUGUUGGAUUUGCUUGGCUACUCUGCCUCUAUUUUCGCAGCUUUGACCAGAUACCCCUCUGCGGUUGACAAGGGGUUAAUGUCUAUUAUUGAAAAUUUCAUCUUGGAGGAAUUAGACCUUAUAAAGGGUUGUAUUUCAGCAGUGAAGGCAAUUUCCUCAUUUGGUUCAGACGUGCAGAAAAUUGCAUUGGAAGUUCUUGAUGCUCUGAUACGAUUGUGUAAGGUAUAUUCCCAUGGCGUAAACUGGGAUUCUUACCUUAAGAUGGAGGAGGAAAGAAAAGUUAUGGAAAGUGAAGAGGCUGAAAGUGCAGAUCAUGUCAACAAGAUAAUGAAAUUAACGGUUGAAAAGUUGUGUGAGUUGGGCAUCCUUGCAGCUAAUGAUGGAGGAAAUCUUGUGAGCUUAAUUAAUCUGUCAUGGAAAGGUGUAGUUAGCUUACUUCAGCUUGGCAAGGGUUCUUUGGCUGUAAAGUUGAAUAUAGGAGACAUUAUUCUGACUCUUAUUUCUCUGGCUAAUGGAUCUUUGGGAUGUGCGGCUGAGACUUGGUCAUCCCCAUUGAAAGAAGCAGUUUCUGCAAUGGAAGCUAGAAGAGUGUUUCUUCCAGUCAAGUUUUACCUGAUUAAUGCUGUGCGAAUUAUCUCUCAGUACCCAUCCGAGGCAUUUUAUGUGUUCAAAGAUAUAAUAUUAUCUGUCAUAAUGAUCUCAACCUUUAGAAUAUUCCUCAUUAAAGAUGAUCAGCUCAAAUUUGCUGGUGAUGCAAUUUCAGAAAUCUUGGAGCCGACAUCCUUUCAUAUGCUUAACUCUUUCCUUAACUCAGCUCAAGUGAAAUCAGAGCAGAAGUUUCAAAUUUUGGAGUGGUUGUUUGGCGACGAAAUUGAUUUAGAUAAUGUCACCAUAGGGUGCAAUAUUAAUCAAGCUAGUUGCAUGAGUGCAAUAUUUGCUGUAAGUUCUGGCACUAUGCAGGGAGCAAAGAUACUAUUUAUUGGUCGAGUAGCCUUGUUUGUAAAUCUUCUGAAAAACUCACCUGAUAUUGAAGAUGAUGCAAGACUAGGGGUUGCUAGAAAACUUGGAUGGUUAUUGUGCAUCUGCACUGAUAAAGAUGUGUAUUCUUCCAUUCUUGUCUUGGAACUUCCUACAAUGUCUCGUACUAGUCAAAAACAAGAAUCCAAUGAGCCCCUUUUCCAUUUCAUUAUUAAUGCCUUGAAAACCUUCAUGAUAGUGACCUCUUCAAGUCAAGCUUGGUGUGAAAUCGAGUCGUUUCUUCUUGAAAACCUUUUUCAUCCUCACUUUCUUUGUCGUGAGAUUGUUACUGAACUUUGGUGCUUUAUCUCACGUCACGCUGACGAAGUUGUGGUAGACGACAUUGUUGAAAAGUUCUGCUCAUUAAUGAAGUACACAGAAGCUCCGGAAGUUGCACUAAAUCCUGAUAGUCUGGUCAGAAAAAUGGCGAGAUUUCUCUGUGUGCUUGUUACAUCUGGUCCAAAUUCUAUGGUAGAUAAAGUUUAUAAGACAGUGGUUGGAUUUAACACAUCAAACUAUUCAUCAAUUACUUACUUAGCUUUGCUUAUGGAGGGAUUCCCACUAAAUGCACUUUCAGAAAAAUUGAGAAGUGAUGCAAAGCAACAAAUUGUAACUCAAUACUUUAACUUCCUUGGGAGUUUUGGGGGUACACUACCGAGAGAAGGCGGCUCUGCUGUUUAUGGUGCUCCAGUUUUUGCUCUUUCUGCCGCUCUGCAGUUUCGCCUAAUCAGCAUAUCAGAUGCUGAGAUGAAGACUAUAAAGUUCCUUGUUGCUAUUAUUCACAAGUACAGAGAAUGUUCAGACAUCAAAAUAAAGGAUAAAUACCGCAGGCUUCUUAGUGAGACACUAGGAAUCAUUUCUAACAUGAAGCAUUUGUAUACUUCCAAUGAGAUGGAAGAAGUCAUUUUGGCCCUUCAGAACCUCUUCAUCUCUGGACCAGCAUUAUCAGAUGGAAAAUUAUUUCAAUGCAAGCCAAACUUGUCAUCUUUUAUGGCUGGCCUUGGUGAGAUUGAAUUGGAAGACCGAGAGGACAAUGCAGUGAGUUCAGCUGUGUGGGAGCUGUAUCACAUGUUGCUUAGAGAGCGACACUGGGCACUUGUUCACCUCGCUAUCACAGCCUUUGGAUAUUUUGCUGCCCGCAGUAGUUGUAAUCAUCUCUGGAGAUAUGUACCCGAAGAUGCAGCUCUUUCGUUUGAUCUGUUAACAGGAAAAGAAGCUGACGAGGAGAGAUUUAUGUCUGACCUGAAAACAUUUCUUGACAAGGAAUCCGCAUGUCCAAAGAUAAAACCUUGUCCGGACACAGUUAGCAUGUUUGCUAUGGAUGGUCAAAUGCUGAAAGAGACCUUGAAAAAGAUAAAAGAUGUUGAUCCAAAGCUUAUGGUCUGUGAUCCUAUGGAGGUUGACAAUGAAAAGCAACCCAAUAGAAAAAGAAAAUUUCCUAACAGAGUUACCAAAGGAGUGGAAUUACUGAGAGACGGCAUGAAGGUUAUGGGUGAUGCUCUUUCUGAGUGGAAGCAUAACCAUUUCGACUCCACUGAUAUUCGUGAAAAAUUCUUGACUCACUUCUCUCACCUGGAAGAUGUGGUUACCCACUUAGUGAGCCUUGCUGACAGUGGCUAACUUCUACUGGAAUAGUUCACUUCUGCAGUGACUGGUGCAAAUUAUCAUCAGCUGAUGAUUAUGAAAUGCAUGUUGCAAAUCAAACACCAGAUAUUUUAACCGCGGAAUGUUUUAUGGACGAUAAAUCGUUAGGAAAACAAACAAUUAAAUCAAUGGAGAUUUACAAAUUUAAUGUAACUAUUGAUGGUGAAAACACAAAAGACGUUUGGUGUCCAAUGUGGUUAGGGAAAAGGCCUGGAUUAUUUAAGAUAUUUGAUUAUAAUAGAGAUCAAUCUAAUUGUGGUGAUCAAGUUUGUCAUUGGUAUGUUAAACAAGAUGGAAUUUGCCUUUUUAGUGUUUAUCAAUGUGUUGUACACUAUAAUUGGGCAUGGUGAAAUAUUAAUUAAAUUACGUGGGAUAAAGUUCAUUUAGUUUUUUAUGAUGUUUAGAAAUUUUAAUGGUGUUUUGAAGAUGUUAUGGUUUGCUAGACUUGGAUGUAUAACGGAAGCUUAAUGUAUCAGGUUGUCAUUUGUUGUACAGGUUUGCGGCUAUAUAUGAUGAUUUUAUCUUUUUUUUUGUUGUA